UAGGGAAUCUUCGGCAAUGGGGGGAACCCUGACCGAGCAACGCCGCGUGAGUGAAGAAGGUUUUCGGAUCGUAAAGCUCUGUUGUUAAGGAAGAACGAGUGUGAGAAUGGAAAGUUCAUGCUGUGACGGUACUUAACCAGAAAGGGACGGCUAACUACGUGCCAGCAGCCGCGGUAAUACGUAGGUCCCGAGCGUUGUCCGGAUUUAUUGGGCGUAAAGCGAGCGCAGGCGGUUAGAAAAGUCUGAAGUGAAAGGCAGUGGCUCAACCAUUGUAGGCUUUGGAAACUGUUUAACUUGAGUGCAGAAGGGGAGAGUGGAAUUCCAUGUGUAGCGGUGAAAUGCGUAGAUAUAUGGAGGAACACCGGUGGCGAAAGCGGCUCUCUGGUCUGUAACUGACGCGGAGGCUCGAAAGCGUGGGGAGCGAACAAG
rnacentral:rRNA from 1 species